UACAGAGGGUGCAGAGUCGUUGAUUGAUUGAUGGCGUAAAGGGCGCGUAGGCGGUGCGGUAAGUCACCUGUGAAAUCUCCUGGCUCAACUGGGAGCUUGCAGGCGAAACUGCCGUGCUGGAGUGUGGGAGAGGUGAGUGGAAUUCCUGGUGUAGCGGUGAAAUGCGCAGAUAUCAGGAAGAACACCCGUGGCGAAAGCGGCUCUCUGGAACGGUACUGACGCUGAGACGCGAAAGCGUGGGGAGCGAACAGG
rnacentral:rRNA from 1 species